ACGGGAGGCAGCAGUGGGGAAUUUUGGACAAUGGGCGCAAGCCUGAUCCAGCAAUGCCGCGUGUGUGAAGAAGGCCUUCGGGUUGUAAAGCACUUUUGUCCGGAAAGAAAACCUCUGGGUUAAUACCCCGGGGGGAUGACGGUACCGGAAGAAUAAGCACCGGCUAACUACGUGCCAGCAGCCGCGGUAAUACGUAGGGUGCAAGCGUUAAUCGGAAUUACUGGGCGUAAAGCGUGCGCAGGCGGUCCGCUAAGACAGAUGUGAAAUCCCCGGGCUUAACCUGGGAACUGCAUUUGUGACUGGCGGGCUAGAGUAUGGCAGAGGGGGGUAGAAUUCCACGUGUAGCAGUGAAAUGCGUAGAGAUGUGGAGGAAUACCGAUGGCGAAGGCAGCCCCCUGGGCCAAUACUGACGCUCAUGCACGAAAGCGUGGGGAGCAAACAGGAUUAGAUACCCUGGUAGUCCACGCCCUAAACGAUGUCAACUAGUUGUCGGGUCUUCAUUGACUUGGUAACGUAGCUAACGCGUGAAGUUGACCGCCUGGGGAGUACGGUCGCAAGAUUAAAACUCAAAGGAAUUGACGGGGACCCGCACAAGCGGUGGAUGAUGUGGAUUAAUUCGAUGCAACGCGAAAAACCUUACCUACCCUUGACAUGUAUGGAAUCCUGCCGAGAGGUGGGAGUGCCCGAAAGGGAGCCAUAACACAGGUGCUGCA
rnacentral:rRNA from 1 species